CAGUACGUUAAAUGGAUUCCACCGUUACUGCUGGGAGUCAGCCAUCAGUCUACACAUCAUGACUCUGGAGUGCAAACCCACGCCAUAUCCCUGAAUCUGUUGUGGAAGAACAGACUGGAAGACAUCUGCCUCUUGCCUUAUUUUUUUUAAUUCCUCUAAAUGAUAGAGCCAAGUCUCCACACCAGAGCUCCCUCUCCCUGAACAAACCAAAUGGCGGCUGUUGGCAGCGCACUGACAGCUUGUUAAUGGAGGAAUCCUUGACAGUGUGACAACCUGCCUGGGCUGCCGCGGGAAGCCAAAUCCGCCCCCACACAAACCCGAGUAAUUAACAGUUCUUGCUAGCAAGCUCUACUGGAAAGUGCUUUGACUUUGGAGUCAGGGUGGGAUCGGAUUUGUCAGCGAGACCAUGCCCUGAGCAGAAUUGCCCUGUGGCAAAGGAAACCUGAGCUGAGGACUAAAUGAGAAAGUCUAGAACCGGUGAACGCACAUGACCUCAGCUGAAAGCCUUUAGGAAACAUCCGCCCAAGGAGGGCUCCAUAACCCAGGGCUCACUGAAGAAAAUUCCAACUGAAGAUAAGCUGAGAGAAAAUAUCACAAAACACUGAAAAAUACCACUGUGAAAGGGCUUGCAUAAACGCUGGGUGCCCCAACACUGGAGCAGGUCCUGAAGAGGAAAAUGUAAAGUGCUUGUUAAAGG